UCUUAGCUUCAGAGAAGAUUGCCAACCUGUCCAGAGCCCUGCAAGCUGUGCAGUUUUCCCUGUGCUGUUUCAAGAGCCACUGCCUGUGCUGAGGUGGACUCUGCAGUCCUACAGCUCCUGUGACGUCACUCCAGCUCCUUUUGUUUAUAUGGUGGAUUACAUUGAUGGAUUUCCACAUACUGACCCACUCCUGCAUGCCUGGGAUGAAGCCUACUUGGUCAUGACGGAUGAUAUUUUGGAUGUGUUCUUGGAUUUGGUUUAGUCAACUCUGAGAUUCCAUCUUACACCUGUCAGAAUGGCUAAGAUCAAAAACUCAAGUGACAACAUAUGGUGGAGAGGAUGUGGAGAAAGGAGAACCCUCCUCCUUUUCUGGUGGGAGUACAAACUUGUACAACCACUUUGGAAAUAAAUCUGGCACUUUCUCAGAAAAUUGGGAUAGUGAUACUUCCAAGAUCCAGCUAUACCACUCCUGGGCAUAUGCCUGAAAGAUGCUCCACCAUUCAACAAGGACAUUUGCUUAACUAUGUUCAUAGCAGCUUUAUUUGUAAUAGCCAGAAUCUGGAAACAACCUAGAAUUCCCUCAACAGAAGAAUGGAUACAGAAAUUGUGGUACAUCUACACAAUGGAAUGCUACUCCACUAUUAAAAACAAGGAAAUCAUGAAAUUUUCAGGGAAAUGGAUGGAACUAGAAGACAUCAUCCUGAGUGAGCCCUGGAAGGGUGUGGCCUCGAGACCCAGAAGGAACCCGAAGAAGUGAUGGCUUCGGGGAACCCAGGAGCAGUCUCAAAGGGAGAGCCAGCCUCACAGUCACUGUGAUACCUCUCGUCUUCACCUCUCCUUCCCAUAUCCCCCAGUCGGAUCCCACAAACUCACCUACGGUGAGAGAUGCGCACAGACAGCACAGCAGGACCAAAAAAAAAGUGUCAAAGUUCGAUUGCGCUUGGAGACUGCAGCCCGGGCCAUGGUUCCUCAUUCCGUACCAAGCUGGCAGCAGGCAUGACUGCCUUCAAGGGAGAGGAGAGGAGAGGAAGACUAAGUAAUUCCUGCAGAUGACUGCAGACUUCUCCAGAACCUGGGCCGAGAAUUCAAGCCUUCCCCCUUUGUCUGCCUGCUAAUUCCGUCCUUAGUCCCGUCUGCUCCUAGUCACUCCCGGGUCCCUGGGGGCUCUGGCCCCUUUCUUUCCAGACCUCCACAGUUCUUUUCUAACUCCUGCAGCACAUGAGGUCGCUAUUGUGAACUGACUGUCUACGGUCCUCCCAGGGCCUCGGAGGUCCCUUCCCAGAACUCACCUGUGCUCCAGGACCUUCCUUAGCAGAAGUGGGAGCAGAAGAAUGGCGCUGGUCCCUCCCGCUGAGAUCAUUUAUAACCAAUAGCCCCGGAGGAGAAAACCGGUUAGAUCAGCUCCGGGCGUAGCAUGGAAUUUCUGUGCUCUUCUGUAAGGGCUAAGACCCCGUCGUCCUCUCACUUCCAUGCCGAAGUUCGCAUAUUCAUCUUCAGAAGAAAGACAAGUCCGAUUUGUUUUUAGUUUGUGAAAUGCCUAGGUUUCCUCCCAAAUACUGGCCAGUCUGAAAUCAAGGGUCCUGCCUGCUUCACAAGCCUCGUGGACUGCCAAGUCUCUCUGCCAUUACUGCCAUCCUCAGGAGUUCCUGAAUCCUUUAGGGACCUCUGACGAAGUUAAGCCAGAUUUUUGGCUUCACCAUAGAAAAGAAUUUCAGGACAAGCGAGUCUAGAACAGAGUUGAAGUUAAUUAAAAGAUAUUUUAAAGAUGAGGGUCAAAAGAAAGAGGGUCUGGGAGGGAAGUCGAGAACUUAGGAUAUGGGUGUGGUCUUUUUAAAGCACCGUCAUGGUUGCCAUAGUAACCUGGACAGUUAAGUGAGGAACCUUCUCUUUGCUAAAUGAACUCUUGAUGUGGUUUCUGGGUUCACUGGCUGGAAUCCAAGCUGAUAAGUAAGAGCCUAGAUCAAAGGAAGGGCAGGGCACCUGUAAAGAAAGAUCCAAUCUUGCUGUGAGAAUCCCAGAAAGCCCUGGAAAGGAACAAGGCCAUAUUGGAAGAUCACAGAAGAGUGGUCUUCCAGCAAGGCUCAUUGCUUGUCUAACAUUUUUAGUUGGAAAUAUAUGUCUAUAAAGAAAUACUGUUAGGCUGGGCAUGGUGGCUCAUGCCUUUAAUCCCUGCACUCCGGAGCAGAGCAAAGCAGAUCUCUGUGAGUUUGAGGCCAGCCUGGUCUACAGAGAGAGUUCCAGGGCAGGCAGCCAGGACUGCACAGAGAAACCCUGCCUUGAGAAAUCAAAAUAAAUGAAUAAA